rnacentral:rRNA from 1 species
UACGGAGGGUGCAAGCGUUAUCCGGAUUCACUGGGUUUAAAGGGUGCGUAGGUGGGUCUGUAAGUCAGUGGUGAAAUCUUCGAGCUUAACUCGGAAACUGCCAUUGAUACUAUAGGUCUUGAAUUUUCUGGAGGUAAGCGGAAUAUGUCAUGUAGCGGUGAAAUGCUUAGAUAUGACAUAGAACACCAAUUGCGAAGGCAGCUUACUACGGGAAUAUUGACACUGAGGCACGAAAGCGUGGGGAUCAAACAGG